rnacentral:rRNA from 1 species
CCUACGGGAGGCAGCAGUAGGGAAUCUUCCACAAUGGGCGAAAGCCUGAUGGAGCAACGCCGCGUGGGUGAAGAAGGUCUUCGGAUCGUAAAACCCUGUUGUUAGAGAAGAAAGUGCGUGAGAGUAACUGUUCACGUUUCGACGGUAUCUAACCAGAAAGCCCCGGCUAACUACGUGCCAGCAGCCGCGGUAAUACGUAGGUGGCAAGCGUUAUCCGGAUUUAUUGGGCGUAAAGGGAACGCAGGCGGUCUUUUAAGUCUGAUGUGAAAGCCUUCGGCUUAACCGGAGUAGUGCAUUGGAAACUGGGAGACUGGAGUGCAGAAGAGGAGAGUGGAACUCCAUGUGUAGCGGUGAAAUGCGUAGAUAUAUGGAAGAACACCAGUGGCGAAAGCGGCUCUCUGGUCUGUAACUGACGCUGAGGUUCGAAAGCGUGGGUAGCAAACAGGAUUAGAUACCCUAGUAGUC